UCCAUCUUCAUCCUUGUUACUGCAAAUGACAUGAUUUAUUUUCUGUUUCCUUUAGGUGCAAUAUUAUACUAAUUUGAGAUCUUUCUAACAUCAUGACGAAGGUUGUCAGAACCAUAACUUUUCAUAUUGACACUGCUUCAGCAGCAAACCAAAGAUGUUGUCCUGUGAAGAAGUAACUCCUCAAGUUUCCUGAGGCUUCCCCAUGCCUGCAGAACUGUAAGUCAAUGAAACCUCUCUUUUUAAUAUAAAUUACCCAGUGGCAGUGUGAUUUCCUUUCAAAAAUGUGAGAAUGGACUCAUGCAUAGGCCUAAUGCAAUCACAAGUGUUGUGAUAACAGGGAAGCAGAAGUAGUAUAUUCAGAGGAGAUGUGAAUAUUGAAACGAAGGUUGGAGUGAUGCAGUACCAGAAGUUGAUAAUGUGGGCAGCUUUUAAAAGUUAAGAAAGGUAUGGAAAUAAAAUUGUCCCUAGA
ensembl:lncRNA